rfam:Fusobacterium mortiferum ATCC 9817 genomic scaffold supercont2.3, whole genome shotgun sequence.
CUUGGUGAGAAGAGCUACGGGGGUACACCCAGAAACAUUCCGAACCUGGAAGUUAAGCCCGUAAACGCUGAAAGUACUUGGAGGGAAGCCUCCUGGGAGGAUAGGAACUUGCCAAGC